UGAAGCUGGAUUCGCUAGUAAUCGCGCAUCAGCCACGGCGCGGUGAAUACGUUCCCGGGCCUUGUACACACCGCCCGUCAAGCCAUGGGAGCCGGGGGUGCCUGAAGUGCGCUGCCGCAAGGAGCGCCCUAGGGUAAAACCGGUGACUGGGGCUAAGUCGUAACAAGGUAUC
rnacentral:rRNA from 1 species